rnacentral:tRNA from 1 species
GAAGGAAACUGCUCAGUGGUAGAGCACAUGCUUAGCAUGCACAAGGUCCUGGGUUCAAUCCCCAGUACCUCCA